UACGAAGGGGGCGAGCGUUGUUCGGAGUUACUGGGCGUAAAGGGCGCGUAGGCGGCGAUCCAAGUUAGGCGUGAAAGCCCCGGGCUUAACCUGGGAAUUGCGCUUAAGACCGGACUGCUUGAGUGCGGGAGAGGUGAGUGGAAUUCCCAGUGUAGAGGUGAAAUUCGUAGAUAUUGGGAAGAACACCAGUGGCGAAGGCGGCUCACUGGCCCGCAACUGACGCUGAGGCGCGAAAGCGUGGGGAGCAAACAGG
rnacentral:rRNA from 1 species